rnacentral:rRNA from 1 species
AUUGAACGCUGGCGGCAUGCCUUACACAUGCAAGUCGAACGGCAGCACGGGUGCUUGCACCUGGUGGCGAGUGGCGAACGGGUGAGUAAUACAUCGGAACGUACCUUAUCGUGGGGGAUAACGCAGCGAGAGCUGUGCUAAUACCGCAUACGCCCUGAGGGGGAAAGCGGGGGAUCGCAAGACCUCGCGCGAUUAGAGCGGCCGAUGCCUGAUUAGCUAGUUGGUGGGGUAAAAGCCCACCAAGGCGACGAUCAGUAGCUGGUCUGAGAGGACGAUCAGCCACACUGGGACUAAGACACGGCCCAGACUCCUACGGGAGGCAGCAGUGGGGAAUUUUGGACAAUGGGGGCAACCCUGAUCCAGCAAUGCCGCGUGAGUGAAGAAGGCCUCCGGGUUGUAAAGCUCUUUUGUCAGGGAAGAAACACCGGCUCUAACACAGUCCGGGAAUGACGGUACCUGAAGAAUAAGCACCGGCUAACUACGUGCCAGCCGCCGCGGUAA